rnacentral:ncRNA from 1 species
UGGGCAGAAACCGAAAAGCCUUUUUUUAAAUAGAGUAGGUG